rnacentral:rRNA from 1 species
CCUACGGGAGGCAGCAGUGAGGAAUAUUGGUCAAUGGGCGCGAGCCUGAACCAGCCAAGUAGCGUGAAGGAUGACUGCCCUACGGGUUGUAAACUUCGUUUAUAAAGGAAUAAAGUGAGGCACGUGUGCCUUUUUGUAUGUACUUUAUGAAUAAGGAUAGGCUAACUCCGUGCCAGCAGCCGCGGUAAUACGGAGGGUCCGAGCGUUAUCCGGAUUUAGUGGGUUUAAAGGGAGCGUAGAGGGGUUGUUAAGUCAGUUGUGAAAGUUGGCGGCUCAACCGGAAAAUUGCCAUUGAUACUGGCAGUCUUGCGUACAGUUUCGGUCGGCGGCAUUCGUGGUGUAGCCG